GCAUAUCUAAAAUCUCCGAAGCGCCAGAGAAAAAAGUGCCAUUAGUGUCUGAUAUAUUGAAUUAUGUCCCGUUUAUCCGCGUUAUUCAAGUGCAAAUGAUCGCGCUCGUGUCCAGAAAAGGCUUGGCCACAGGAUGUGCUGGAGGGAGGCGGAAAAAGUCUGCGCUUCCUCGGCGCAAACUUGACGAGCUCGACGACGCGUGAAGGAAAAAGAAGCGAAAAGGAAAAACUUUAAGCGAACUACUCGCUUGUUUAGCUGAAUAUAGAGUUGACAACCUAUGGACGUGUUACUUUGUGGUGGGUGUUUUUUCACUCGGGUUUGAGGAGCUGCCGUGACUUCUCUGGACGGCUUGUGUUGUGUUGCGAGCAGCUGUGUGGACUGUAAGGAGCUCCAGUCUCCAGACUGAGGUACUGAGGGACACUCCGCUCCGCUUUACAUCAGCGCUCAAGAAGACAAGACGAAUGUUCACUUUACACACAUUUUAAAACACAGAUAGACAUGGCGAGUCAUGCUACGAGCUUUUUUCACUUACGUGCCUCAAAACUCGGACUAAUCAAGUCCCAGACAGCAUAUUAGCUUCAGCCGUGUUAAGAAAACACCAGCCGCUAUUCAUCUAAUUUGACCAUUUAAGGCAUUUAAAGGACACCGUAGGCUGUUGUUUCUUCGCCAAGGCUGCACUUCAUUGGUCCAGAUCUGCACCAGUGGACACUUCAGUGUCAGGCUGCUUACAACGACCUGUAACAGAAAAACUUCACCUCUGCUUCACUUUUAGCUUUUUGAUUCCAGUUGAUCUAAGAGGGAAUAAAUCUGCUUUCAUAGUAGCUUUGACUGUGAGCUUAAAAUGAUUUGGUAAAGUGCAGGACACUUCUGCUGGAACUCCAAACACAGAACUGUCGCUCCUGCCUCAGUCAUGUGCAGUUUCUCUCUUCUUCGCACUUGCAGCAGCUAUAAAGGCAGACAGAGCAUUCCCUGUAGGCCUACAACUCCUUAAUUGCCACACAUUAAGAUCAUUCAGUGGAGGAGCCAAGUUUAAACGAUAACAUAGGAGUCAGGUUUUAUUUGAUAUUAUUUUAUUUUUGCUUUAAAUUUUGUUUCAAAAUUCUAAUUAUUAAACAUUAAUUUAAAAUUUUUAUAUUACAAGCUUAAGUCGGCCCUUGUCUAUAGAUUUAAAUCAGUGUUUUUCUUAUAUUUAUAGAUCUUGGUAGCCUUGUCAUAGUAGAUAUAAAAAUAAUUCUAAAUGUACUCAUUUUUAUUGCAUUUUUUUUUUGGACACAUGGGCUGUCAUAAUUUUUUUAUUUGCAUGUGCGACUGUGAACAUGUCUUUCUGUAGGUAUAUGUGCAUUGUAUAAAAAAGAAAAAAAAUCAAUAAAUUAGGUAACUUUACUAGCCCUUA